CAGCUGACGAGUCCCGAAUAGAGCGAAACGUACGUCCUG
rnacentral:hammerhead_ribozyme from 1 species